UACGAAGGUCCCAAGCGUUAUCCGGAUUUAUUGGGUUUAAAGGGUGCGUAGGCGGGUUAUUAAGUCAGUGGUGAAAGCCUACAGCUUAACUGUAGAAUUGCCAUUGAUACUGAUAAUCCUGAGUAUGAUUGAGGUGGGCGGAAUGUGUCAUGUAGCGGUGAAAUGCUUAGAUAUGACACAGAACACCGAUUGCGAAGGCAGCUCACUAAGUCAUAACUGACGCUGAUGCACGAAAGCGUGGGGAGCAAACAGG
rnacentral:rRNA from 1 species